rnacentral:rRNA from 1 species
CCUACGGGAGGCAGCAGUCGGGAAUCUUGCGCAAUGGGCGAAAGCCUGACGCAGCAACACCGUGUGGGCGACGAAGGCCUUCGGGUCGUAAAGCCCUGUUGUUGGGGACGAAGGGCGAAGGGUUAAUAGCCCCUAGGCUGACGGUACCCUUCGAGGAAGCCCCGGCCAACUACGUGCCAGCGGCCGCGGUAAUACGUAGGGUCCGAGCGUUGUCCGGAAUUAUUGGGCGUAAAGGGCCCGGAGGCGGUCUGUCGCGUCGGGAGUGAAAACCAGGUGCUUAACACCUGGCCUGCUUUCGAUACGGGCAGACUAGAGGUACUCAGGGGAGAAUGGAAUUCCUGGUGUAGCGGUGAAAUGCGCAGAUAUCAGGAGGAACACCGGUGGCGAAGGCGGUUCUCUGGGAGUAUCCUGACGCUGAGGAGCGAAAGUGUGGGGAGCGAACAGGAUUAGAUACCCUGGUAGUCCACACCGUAAACGUUGGGCGCUAGGUGUGGGACACAUUCCACGUGUUCCGUGCCGCAGCUAACGCAUUAAGCGCCCCGCCUGGGGAGUACGGCCGCAAGGCUAAAACUCAAAGGAAUUGACGGGGGCCCGCACAAGCGGUGGAGCGUGGGGUUUAAUUCGACGAUAAGCGGAGAACCUUACCAGGGUUUGACAUCCCGGGAAUCUCCUGGAAACAGGAGAGUGCCGCAAGGAACCUGGUGACAGGUGCUGCAUGGCCGUCGUCAGCUCGUGUCGUGAGAUGUUGGGUUAAGUCCCGCAACGAGCGCAACCCUUGUCGUAUGUUGUAUUUUUCAUACGAGACUGCCUAGUUAACUAGGAGGAAUGUGGGGUCGAAGUCAGUCAGCAUGGCUCUUACACCCUGGCGACACCCGCGCUACAAUGGCGAGUACAAUGGGUUGCAAACCGCGAGUGAGCUAAUCCCAUCAAAGCUCGUCCCAGUUCGGAUUGAGCUGCAACUCGCCUCCAUGAAGCCGGAAUCGCUAGUAAACGCGAAUCAGCCACGUCGCGGUGAAUACGUUCCCGGG